UACGUAGGGGGCAAGCGUUGUCCGGAAUCAUUGGGCGUAAAGCGCGUGUAGGCGGCCAGAUAAGUCCGUUCUGAAAGCCCGGGGCUCAACCCCGGGAGGCGGAUGGAUACUGUUUGGCUCGAGUCCGGAAGAGGCGAGUGGAAUUCCCGGUGUAGCGGUGAAAUGCGUAGAGAUCGGAAAGAACACCAACGGCGAAAGCACUCUGCUGGGCCGACACUGACACUGAGAGACGAAAGCUAGGGGAGCGAAUGGG
rnacentral:rRNA from 1 species